rnacentral:tRNA from 1 species
UGGAGCGUAGCUCAAUGGUGGAGCAAUCGGCUGUUAACCGAUAGGCUGUGAGUUCAAGUCUCACCGUUCCAG